UAUUUUUGUAACCAUUUUUAAUCGGAUAAUUUUGUGAGAAGCAUUAUAAUUGCCUUACAGAAUAAACUGAUCCCUUCAAAUUGACUCCUUUGUGGAUUAAAAGGGCAAUGACCCUGUAUUUAUAGAUCAGGUGAGAAUGAUGCACUCUAAAAUUUUCAAUCCACACAGUAGGAUCAAUUAUGAAAAAGAUCAACCUUAAGUGCCAGGGCUUGGAAAGUUUAAAAUAAAAAAUCAGUUGCAAAGCAUUAUUUUACUUCACUAAAAUCCGCCCAAUAGAAAAUAGAUAUGAAGAUGUUGGAAUUGGCUGAGGGCACAAAUGUUUCCUGUCAUACAUUUUUUGUUUCUUGUCCCAGGGUUUCCAUUUACUAAUUACAUGUCCUAGACGAAGUCUCUGAACUCUCUGAGCCUCAGUGGAGGAGACGUCUCCAUGUCCUCAUCUCUGAAAAGAGUUUUAACCGUAUCUCCCACGUGGGUGGUGAUGAGACUUAUAUGAGAAGAGCAAGAGAAUUGUUUUGGUCAUUCCAUCAGCUUCAGAAGCCCAAGUAAGUGUGCUGGUUAAAAUGUUCAGUGCACACAUCUGUCAGCAUGUUCCACAUGAGAAACAAAAGACUACAGCUGCAAUCAUAGCCUUAGGAGCCAGCAAGCAGAACGAGUAGCUAGAACAACGCAAAGUCAGAAAACCAGCAAGUGAACUGCAUAAACGCUAAGGAGAGAAAGCCCUACAGCAGACUACUCCUCAGCUGACAAGGGACAGAGCAAAAUAAAAUUAGGGGAAUAGACUGGAAAAUGAAGACAUAUCACUGCUCCAAACUGGUGCAAAUCACAUUCCUUGUUGCUCCUCUAUAACUUGUAUGCAUUGCUUUAAUUUUGGUUUGGUAAAUGGAAAAUAUAAUUAUCCAGUUCGGUGGAAUUUAUCAAAACCUUCAAGACUUAGUGUGGUGAUCAUUUUGCAAUGUAUACUAAUAUCAAAUUAUUAUGGCAUAUGCUGGAAACUAAUAUAAUGUUAUAUGUCAAUUAUACCUCAAUGAAAAAGAGAAUUUUUAAAUUUCUAGUUACUGUGUAGUACUUAAUGCAUUGUUAAAUAUUUAGUAAAACUAAAAAUACUUAUUUGACCAUCAUUAUAUUUACUCUUGAAAAUAAGGAUAAGGAAAAAGAUCAACUGUUAAAAUAGGUGUAGCAAAUUAUUUUAAGUUGAAAGAUAUCCUUGCAUGGAGGGGAAAAAUUUUGUGAAAGUAAUUGUAAAUAUUUGUGGGGACUUUUCAUAUAAAAAUCAUGGGUUCAGCUCAUGUGUCCCUUUAAUACUCCAUACUACCUCAUGAUGGACUUUUGUUUGGCAAACUUUUGUGUUUUAACCAUAAUCAGCUAUGUGAGUCGAAUUAGCAAUGUCCAAAAAUCAUCUGCUAUUUAAUUCUUAACUGUUUGUAGAGACUCCAAAUACUAUCCAUGCAUAUGUGCAAGAUACAAAUUUUUGCCUUUCAGGAGUAUAUUAUCAUUUAUAAACUCAAAUAAGUGUUCAUAAUUAUGAUUAUGCAAAAAUAUAUAAUAACGCCUCUAAUAAAAGCCUCUUUUGAGAAAUAAA